GAUAAAGUGGCCGAGUAAUAGGCGGUAAACUGUAAAUUUACAAACGAAUUCUAUUCCUUUAUCA
rnacentral:tRNA from 2 species